rnacentral:rRNA from 1 species
GUAACACGUAUCCAACCUUCCCACUAACUCAGGGAUAGCCUUUCGAAAGAAAGAUUAAUACCUGAUAGUACUUUUUCUAAGGCAUCUUGAGAAAGUUAAAGAUUUAUUGGUUAUGGAUGGGGAUGCGUUCCAUUAGAUAGUUGGUGAGGUAACGGCUCACCAAGUCUUCGAUGGAUAGGGGUUCUGAGAGGAAGGUCCCCCACAUUGGUACUGAGACACGGACCAAACUCCUACGGGAGGCAGCAGUGAGGAAUAUUGGUCAAUGGGCGAGAGCCUGAACCAGCCAAGUAGCGUGAAGGAUGAAGGUCCUAUGGAUUGUAAACUUCUUUUAUAGUAGAAUAAAGUGAUCCACGUGUGGAUUUUUGUAUGUAUACUAUGAAUAAGGAUCGGCUAACUCCGUGCCAGCAGCCGC